CAGUCGCCGCGGGAAUACGAAGGGGGCUAGCGUUGUUCGGAAUUAUUGGGCGUAAAGGGUGCGUAGGCGGCUUGACAAGUCUUGUGUGAAAUCUAUGGGCUCAACCCAUAGUCUGCACGGGAAACUGUCGGGCUUGAGAAUGGGAGAGGUGAGUGGAAUUUCCGGUGUAGCGGUGAAAUGCGUAGAUAUCGGAAGGAACACCUGUGGCGAAAGCGGCUCACUGGACCAUUUCUGACGCUGAUGCACGAAAGCUAGGGGAGCAAACAGGAUUAGAUACCCCCGUAGUCCCUGUCUCUUAUAA
rnacentral:rRNA from 1 species